UUAAGCAUAUCAAUAAGCGGAGGAAAAGAAACUAACAAGGAUUCCCCUAGUAGCGGCGAGCGAAGCGGGAAGAGCUCAAAUUUAUAAUCUGGCGCUUUCGGCGUCCGAGUUGUAAUCUCUAGAAGUGUUUUCCGCGUUGGACCGCACAUAAGUCUGUUGGAAUACAGCGGCACAGUGGUGAGACCCCCGUUCACGGUGCGGAUCCCCAAUGCUUUGUGAUACACUUUCGAAGAGUCGAGUUGUUUGGGAAUGCAGCUCAAAUUGGGUGGUAAAUUCCAUCUAAAGCUAAAUAUUGGCGAGAGACCGAUAGCGAACAAGUACCGUGAGGGAAAGAUGAAAAGCACUUUGGAAAGAGAGUUAACAGUACGUGAAAUUGUUGGAAGGGAAACGCUUGAAGUCAGACUUGCUAUUCGGGGCUUGCUCCGAGUUGCAGGCCAGCAUCAGUUUUUCGGGGCGGAAAAUCACGGAUUGAAGGUAGCAGUUUCGGCUGUGUUAUAGCUUUCCGUUGGAUACGUCCUGGGGGACUGAGGAACGCAGUGUGCUUUUAGCGAGGGCUUCGGCUCUUUCACACUUAGGAUGCUGGUGGAAUGGCUUUAAACGACCCGUCU
rnacentral:rRNA from 1 species